UGAGAGUGCAAUAAACCCAAGGUUUAGAAGC
rnacentral:piRNA from 1 species